UUUAGAAACCAAUGGUACUUUUUUUUCUUCGAUAGCAGAGAACAGUGUUCCAUAAAACUACUUCUUAAAACCAUCAUUUAAGAAUUUAUUUGACAAUUUUUUGAUAGCAAAGACGUUGGUCCGUAGACUGUUUCCUAAAUCCUUUUUUUAGAUAUUUUUGGCAAUUACAGUGUUCGAACCCCAACCUUCCCAACUGGUUCUGACAGAUACUCCAUUGAAGUUGCUCUUAUAUAGCUCCAUGUAUCAUUUUUGGUCUUGGACGUACGGAGGAAGUUCCACUAGAUCCGUGUGUUAUAGCUUGUUAUCCCUUUACAUUUACUCUAAGCAAAGAGAAGAGUCUUAAAUUGGUAUUGGUCUUGUCUGUUUGCAAUGAGAUUUUUUUUUCGUGCUACAAACCAACAACAAAGUCAAUUUCUUUCAUUAACGCAUAGAAACUUCCUCAAAAUGCAUUUGAUUUAAUCUGUCGAGUAACCUGAUGUUCAUGUUCUCGAUGAUUCUAGGAGUCGUAGUGAGCUUAACUACAAAAUGAAAAAGAACCUUUGAAUGCAACUUGAACUCUUAAUGUCUAGGCUAAUUAAUUAAUCUUUAAUUUUAUUUGUCAAGGUUUUAACAUUUGUUAACUAAUUCUUCAAAGUCAUUGUCUGGCAUUACAUUUUUCUAGUAGUGUCAUACUGCUACAAGCUAGCCCCUUCGACCACUCGGUCAGUCUGUGGUGGUUCUUGCUUCUCCAGACACUUAAAUACAGUAGACCUGUGUAUACCGAAUAGAGAGAGCGAGAGAGAGAUGUCAAUUAGUAAUAUUCCGUGUCUCUUGUUUCUUCUUCUUCUUGUGUCGUUUAUCGAACAAUUAGCAACACUUGGGUUUUGUCAAGAAAUUAAUGAACUUAGAAGAGAUGAUUUCCCGUCUGACUUUGUUUUUGGUGCUGGAACUUCAGCUUAUCAGGUUGAAGGAGCCGUGGCAAAAGACGGAAGGAAACCCUCUGUAUGGGAUAUCUUCACUCAUGAAGGUAAUGUCAUUGACAAAAGCACAAGGGAUAUAGCAGCAGAUGGAUAUCACAAAUAUAAGGAAGAUGUGAAACUAAUGAGUGAUUUAGGACUUGAAGCUUAUAGAUUUUCCAUAUCUUGGUCAAGGGUCCUUCCAGAUGGCAGGGGAGCUAUGAAUCCAAAAGGCAUCGAGUAUUACAAUAAUCGCAUCAAUGAAUUAAUCAGUCACGGUACAAAUAUUGCAUCGGUGAAUAUACCACACGUAUAACAAAUUAACAGCAUCCUAUUUUAUUGUGUUGAUUCAAAUAUUUCUUGGGCAAAUUAAUAAAGUGUCCUGCUUCAAACCAUAUAAUUAAUAAACCGGCCAAGCUUUUAAAUUCUUUUAGAAACUGGCCUUUCUGUUAGAGUUGACACCCGGGCCCACCAGAUCGGUCAGCUGCGUUGAAUAAGUCAAACUCGGUAGGAGAAUUUACGACUGUGCCCUUGCCCAUUUAAAGACGCGUGUGGUGUAAUCUCGCACCACACUUUCUCUUUCCCCCUCGUUCUCUUCCUCCCUCGUUCUCUUCUCCUAGGGUUAGGUAUUGAAGCUGUUUGAAAAGAAAAAGAGUCCUGAUGUUAUUGAAGUUGUUUUUGCUGAAGACAUAGAUGUUAGUGAAAGACCAGAGUGUAUUUGGAAGAAAAGUUCUACAUAUUUAGGGAUUCAAAGAUAGUGGUGAUACAGUGAAGAUGAGGUACAAACCGGGAUUGAAACAGUCUGAAUCAAGUCAGUUCAAAUUUAGGAAUAUCAGUGUAUAUGCGGAGCCAAAGAAUGAGACUUUGGUAUUUCCUGAUUGCCAUAGAGAUGAAACAGAGUUGAUGACACUUAAGUAUAUGGUGUAUAAGGGUUUGUCUAUGGAUGUUAAAGAGA